rfam:Triticum aestivum genome assembly, contig: Triticum_aestivum_CS42_TGACv1_scaffold_641861_T_6AL-0.279161_3B-0.158317
AUACUACUCCCUCCGUCUGGAAAUACUUGUCGAAGAAAUGCAUAAAAAUGGAUGUAUCUAGAACUAAAAUACGUCUAGAUACAUCCAUUCCUCCGACAAGUAUUUCCGGACAGAGGGAGUACUUG